rnacentral:tRNA from 1 species
GCCGGUGUGAUGGAAUUGGCAGACGUGACGGACUCAAAAUCCGUUGGUAGCGAUACCGUGCCGGUUCGAGUCCGGCCACCGGCACCA